GCCUUCGUGGUGUAGUGGUCAGCAGGCUCGGCCCGUACUUUAGAGAUCCGUGGUUCGAUUCCCGGCGAAGGCG
rnacentral:tRNA from 1 species